rnacentral:rRNA from 1 species
AGCGGACAGAUGGGAGCUUGCUCCCUGAUGUUAGCGGCGGACGGGUGAGUAACACGUGGGUAACCUGCCUGUAAGACUGGGAUAACUCCGGGAAACCGGGGCUAAUACCGGAUGGUUGUUUGAACCGCAUGGUUCAAACAUAAAAGGUGGCUUCGGCUACCACUUACAGAUGGACCCGCGGCGCAUUAGCUAGUUGGUGAGGUAACGGCUCACCAAGGCAACGAUGCGUAGCCGACCUGAGAGGGUGAUCGGCCACACUGGGACUGAGACACGGCCCAGACUCCUACGGGAGGCAGCAGUAGGGAAUCUUCCGCAAUGGACGAAAGUCUGACGGAGCAACGCCGCGUGAGUGAUGAAGGUUUUCGGAUCGUAAAGCUCUGUUGUUAGGGAAGAACAAGUACCGUUCGAAUAGGGCGGUACCUUGACGGUACCUAACCAGAAAGCCACGGCUAACUACGUGCCAGCAGCCGCGGUAAUACGUAGGUGGCAAGCGUUGUCCGGAAUUAUUGGGCGUAAAGGGCUCGCAGGCGGUUUCUUAAGUCUGAUGUGAAAGCCCCCGGCUCAACCGGGGAGGGUCAUUGGAAACUGGGGAACUUGAGUGCAGAAGA